GACGAACGCUGGCGGCGUGCCUAAUACAUGCAAGUAGAACGCUGAAGGAGGAGCUUGCUUCUCUGGAUGAGUUGCGAACGGGUGAGUAACGCGUAGGUAACCUGCCUGGUAGCGGGGGAUAACUAUUGGAAACGAUAGCUAAUACCGCAUAAGAGUAGAUGUUGCAUGACAUUUACUUAAAAGGUGCAAUUGCAUCACUACCAGAUGGACCUGCGUUGUAUUAGCUAGUUGGUGGGGUAACGGCUCACCAAGGCGACGAUACAUAGCCGACCUGAGAGGGUGAUCGGCCACACUGGGACUGAGACACGGCCCAGACUCCUACGGGAGGCAGCAGUAGGGAAUCUUCGGCAAUGGACGGAAGUCUGACCGAGCAACGCCGCGUGAGUGAAGAAGGUUUUCGGAUCGUAAAGCUCUGUUGUAAGAGAAGAACGAGUGUGAGAGUGGAAAGUUCACACUGUGACGGUAUCUUACCAGAAAGGGACGGCUAACUACGUGCCAGCAGCCGCGGUAAUACGUAGGUCCCGAGCGUUGUCCGGAUUUAUUGGGCGUAAAGCGAGCGCAGGCGGUUAGAUAAGUCUGAAGUUAAAGGCUGUGGCUUAACCAUAGUACGCUUUGGAAACUGUUUAACUUGAGUGCAAGAGGGGAGAGUGGAAUUCCAUGUGUAGCGGUGAAAUGCGUAGAUAUAUGGAGGAACACCGGUGGCGAAAGCGGCUCUCUGUCUUGUAACUGACGCUGAGGCUCGAAAGCGUGGGGAGCAAACAUG
rnacentral:rRNA from 1 species